UCUCCGGAUCGGCUUCGGGGAGCCGGCGACGGCAUCCUGUCGCUGAGAAGCUGAUCAAACUUGGUCGUUUAGAGGAAGUAAAAGUCGUAACAAGGUUUCCGUAGGUGAACCUGCGGAAGGAUCAUUAAAGAAAUAAUCUCGAGGGCCGAUGGAAAGGAGAGAGGGUUGUAGCUGGCGUAAGCACGUGCACGCCCUCUUUCUCGACCUAGGUCCUUAUGGGCGCGGGGCGACCCGCGUCUUCAUAAGCCCCUUCGUGUAGAAAGUCUAUGAAUGUUUUUAUUAUCAUCGACUCGCGACUUCUAGGAGACGCGAUUCUUUGAGACAAAAGUUAUUACAACUUUCAGCAAUGGAUCUCUUGGCUCUCGCAUCGAUGAAGAACGCAGCGAAUCGCGAUAUGUAAUGUGAAUUGCAGAUCUACAGUGAAUCAUCGAAUCUUUGAACGCACCUUGCGCUUAUCGGUGUUCCGAUGAGCAUGCCUGUUUGAGCGUCAUUAAAUUCUCAACCCCUCUCGAUUUGCUUCGAGAGGGUGCUUGGAUAGUGGAGGCUGCCGGAGACCUGUUUUUUCAGGACUCGGGCUCCUCUGAAAUGUAUUGGCUUGCGGUCGACUUUCGACUGUGCAUGACAAGGCCUUUGGCGUGAUAAUGAUCGCCGCUCGCCGAAGUGCACGAACGAAUGGUCUCGUGCCCCUAAUCAGUCGAUGUCUUUUCGAAGGCGUCUUCCUUAUUGACGNUUUGACCUCANAAUCAGGUAGGACUACCCGCUGAACUUAAGCAUAUCAAUAAGCGGAGGAAAAGAAACUAACAAGGAUUCCCCUAGUAACUGCGAGUGAACCGGGAAAAGCUCAAAUUUUGAAUCUGGCGGUCCUUCGGGCCGUCCGAGUUGUAAUCUAGAGAAGCGUCUUCC
rnacentral:rRNA from 1 species